CAAAAACAUGUCCUUUUGUUUAUUUAUUUAAGGUCUGACCUGCCCAAUGAGGAAUUCAAUGGCCGCAGUAUUUUAACUGUGCUAAGGUAGCAUAAUCAUUUGUCUUUUAAUUGAGGGCUGGAAUGAAAGGUUGGACGAGAUAUUAACUUUCUUUGGCUUAAUUUUAAGAAUUUAAUUUUUGAGUUAAAAAGCUCAAAUUUAUUUGUUGGACGAGAAGACCCUAUAGAUCUUUAUAAUUUUAUAUUUUAGUAAUUUGGUGGUUGUAUUUAUUGUAAGUAAAAGAAUUAUUUUGUUGGGGUGACUGUAGAAUUUUAUUUACUUCUAUUGUUUAGAUUUCAUUAAUUGGUGUUUUUUUGAUCCAUAUUUUUAUGAUUAGAAGAUUAAGUUACCUUAGGGAUAACAGCGUAAUUUUUUCGGAGAGUUCAUAUUGAUGAAGAAGUUAGCGACCUCGAUGUUGGAUUAAAAUAAGUUAUGGAUGCAGGAGUCUAUAUACUAGGUCUGUUCGACCUUUAAAUUUGUACGUGAGCUGAGUUCAAACCAGAA
rnacentral:rRNA from 1 species